UGUGUAGGCGGUUCUUUAAGUUUGGUGUGAAAUCUCCCGGCUCAACUGGGAGGGUGCGCCGAAUACUGAGGGACUCGAGUGCGGGAGAGGAGAGUGGAAUUCCUGGUGUAGCGGUGAAAUGCGUAGAUAUCAGGAGGAACACCGGCGGUGUAGACGGCUCUCUGGACCGCAACUGACGCUGAGACACGAAAGCGUGGGUAGCAAACAGGAUUAGAUACCCUGGUAGUCCACGCCCUAAACGAUGCAUAUUUGGUGUGGGUCAUUCAGUUGAUCCGUGCCGGAGCUAACGCGUUAAAUAUGCCGCCUGGGGAGUACAGUCGCAAGGCUGAA
rnacentral:rRNA from 1 species